rnacentral:rRNA from 1 species
UGGCGGACGGGUGAGUAAUGUCUGGGAAACUGCCUGAUGGAGGGGGAUAACUACUGGAAACGGUAGCUAAUACCGCAUAACGUCGCAAGACCAAAGAGGGGGACCUUAGGGCCUCUUGCCAUCGGAUGUGCCCAGAUGGGAUUAGCUUGUUGGUGGGGUAACGGCUCACCAAGGCGACGACCCCUAGCUGGUCUGAGAGGAUGACCAGCCACACUGGAACUGAGACACGGUCCAG